rnacentral:rRNA from 1 species
AGAGUUUGAUCAUGGCUCAGGAUGAACGCUGGCGGCGUGCCUAAUACAUGCAAGUCGAACGGAGAUUGUAGCAAUACAUUCUUAGUGGCGAACGGGUGAGUAACGCGUUGGUGACCUGCCCCAAAGUGAGGGAUAACAGCCCGAAAGGGUUGCUAAUACCUCAUGUGGUCUUAGAGAUCAGAUGCUCUUAGACUAAAGGAUUUAUUCGCUUUGGGAGGGGCCUGCGUCCCAUCAGCUUGUUGGUGAGGUAAUGGCUUACCAAGGCUAUGACGGGUAGGGGGCCUGAGAGGGUGACCCCCCACAAUGGAACUGAAACACGGUCCAUACACCUACGGGUGGCAGCAGUAGGGAAUAUUGGUAAUGGGCGAAAGCCUGAACCAGCAACGCCGCGUGUGCGAAGAAGGCCUUCGGGUUGUAAAGCACUUUUUAAGGGGAUGAGGAAGGACAGUACCCUUAGAAUAAGCCUCGGCUAACUACGUGCCAGCAGCCGCGGUAACACGUAGGAGGCAAGCGUUAUUCGGAUUUACUGGGCGUAAAGCGCGUGCAGGCGGUUUGGUAAGUUGGAUGUGAAAGCUCCCGGCCUAACUGGGAGAGGUCGUUCAAUACUACCAGACUAGAGGAUGGGAGAGGGAGGUGGAAUUCCGGGUGUAGUGGUGAAAUGCGUAGAUAUCCGGAGGAACACCAGUGGCGAAAGCGGCCUCCUGGGCCCAUUCCUGACGCUCAGACGCGAAAGCUAGGGUAGCAAACGGGAUUAGAGACCCCGGGUAGUCCUAGCUGUAAACGAUGUGAACUUGGCGUCGGCGGGUUUAAAUCCGUCGGUGCCGAAGCUAACGCGAUAAGUUCACCGCCUGGGGACUACGGCCGCAAGGUUAAAACUCAAAGGAAUUGACGG